AAUAUUGCACAAUGGAGGGAACUCUGAUGCAGCAACGCCGCGUGAGUGAAGAAGGUUUNCGGAACNUNAAACUCUGUCAUUGGGGNCGAAUAAAUGACGGUACCCAAUGAGGAAGCCCCGGCUAACUACGGGCCAGCAGCCGCGGUAAUACGUAGGGGGGGAGCGUUGUCCGGAAUUAAUGGGCGUAAAGGGGACGUAGGGGGCUAUAUAAGUCAGGUGUGAAAUACCAGUGCUUAACACUGGAAUUGCAUUUGAAACUGUGUAGCUUGAGUGCAGGAGAGGAAAGUGGAAUUCCUAGUGUAGCGGUGAAAUGCGUUGAGAUUAGGAGGAACACCAGUGGCGAAGGCGACUUUCUGGACUGUAACUGACGCUGAGGUACGAAAGCGUGGGUAGCGAACA
rnacentral:rRNA from 1 species